GAUGAACGCUGGCGGCGUGCUUAACACAUGCAAGUCGAACGGAAAGGCCCAAGCUUGCUUGGGUACUCGAGUGGCGAACGGGUGAGUAACACGUGGGUGAUCUGCCCUGCACUUCGGGAUAAGCCUGGGAAACUGGGUCUAAUACCGGAUAGGACCACUUCGUGGAUGUUGUGGUUGAAAGUUUUUUCGGUGUGGGAUGAGCUCGCGGCCUAUCAGCUUGUUGGUGGGGUAAUGGGCUACCAAGGCGUCGACGGGUAGACGGCCUGGGAGGGUGUACGUCCCCAUUGGGACUGAGAUACGGCCCAGACUCCUACGGGAGGCAGAAGUGGGGAAUAUUGCACAAUGGGCGCCAGCCUGAUGCAGAGACGCCGCGUGGGGGAUGACGGCCUUCGGGUUGUAAACUCCUUUCGCUAGGGACGAAGCGUUUUGUGACGGUACCUGGAGAAGAAGCACCGGCUAACUACGUG
rnacentral:rRNA from 1 species